rnacentral:tRNA from 1 species
GGAGAGGUGGCCGAGCGGUUUAAGGCGCUGGUCUUGAAAACCAGUGGGUGAAUAACCCUCGUGGGUUCGAAUCCCACCCUCUCCGCCA